UAGAAAAUUUUGUGUACGUAAGAAAGAGGUCGUGGAAACGAACUGAAACGAAUGUUAUACAAAUGUUGGUAUUAUCUGUGUUGGUCACAUUGUGUAAAACAAUUGAAUCGAUUUCCGAAUUUUGCCUACCUUCACGUAUGGAACGUGAUGCGGGAGAUGAGAUUUUGUAUCCGGUCAUUGUUAUCAUAAAUGCUGGUGUAAGGGAACACAAGAGGAUAGACAUAAAUGGCAAUACUGUGCCAUUAAAUUAAUCUGAGGAUAAUGGCAACUCCAUAUGUGGUUCAGAAAGUGGCCUUAAAUAGUUCUAACCCUGGAUAUCUGUACUCAGAAUCACAGGAUGAGUUCAGCUGUGCUGGGGCUACACACAACAAUCCAAAUUAUUAUCAGUGUCAAUUUGAAUAUGCCAAUUGGUGCCCAGUUUGCGAAGUUUAUAGAGGUCCUCGAUGUGGACGAAGGCGUAGCAAAAGCGAGGGUCUGGAAGCUGAUCCUCUUCGGGAGCGUAAUAGACUGUGUGAUUCAAAGUAUGAUACUGAGCAUCUGAGAAAGAAAGUGGUUCAGGAGUAUGACUUAUGCAGUUAUCAACAGAAUUCUCGUAUGUUUGUCAGGCAGACAAAUAGCCAUCAGUCUCAUUUACCCAAAGAUACCUUACACCAGACAUCAUUACGUCAACCCAUGGAUGUAGAUGGAAUGAUAGAACAUCACAGAACCAUUGUUCCAGUGAAGAAGUCAAAAGAUCGUUUUCGAUCGAUGGGCCACCCUUGUUACCAACAUAGACGUUUUGGUAACAGUGUCAACGUAACUCAUAACAUACUGCUUCCUAAUGUAAAUGAGAACCCAAAACAUGUCAGUAAUUCGUAUGUUACACACGGUGACGUAUCCCCUGAUAGAGGACAAAAUUUAAAUGGUUUGUUGCCAAGGAAACACACCAAAGUGUCUUGUGAUACUGUUAAAAGAAAUGGUGUAGUUUGUAACCAAGCUUGGACUGAAUUAGAUGAUCAUGGUGAAAAUAAUUUAUCACAAGAAGCAAACAGAGAUAGUACUGAUAAUCACCUGCAGUCAGUGCAUGGCUUUACCGCAAGACAAGUUGAAAAUUAUGAUUGUGAUCAGUCAUGUCCACUAAAUGAUGAUGGGGGGACUGUCCCAUCAAGACAGCAGUACAUGAUGGACACUGUCUCAGUUCAGGACUGCUAUCUUCAUGAGGUGGAGAUCCUUGGUAGCAAAUUACGAGACUUGCGAGGCAGCGUGGAUGGGAAGAGGCUGCGCCAGCGUAGCGAGUCAGAACCUGGAGCAGGUUUUGGUGGUUGUGGUCAAGAUAGUUCAUGGGAGCCCAAACGUGCCCGAGAUGGUUCUCCAUGUCUCACGCAGAACUGUUACGUAGAAGAUACCAAACACUCGACCUAUGGUCAGCGUCAAUUACGGGGCUCGGAGUCUCAUAGCGGUCACUUGCAAGUAAUACAUUUACACAGAUCAUCUGAUCACAGAGGGCAUGACACUAAGAUUUUAUAUCUCCCAGCAUCUUCAAAGACAGCAGUCAGAAAACAUUCUUCAGAUCUACGUGACGAUGAAACAAACCUAUCAUCUGACUCGGACUUCGCUGAUAGUGAACGGACGUGUGGCAGUGGUGAAGAUGGAGACAGCAAAGGAGAACAAGGGGAAGACAGUGAGGAAGCAGAUGAUCAGUCUGUGCUUAGCAGCUUAACGACUGUAUCCACUGAUUCUAAUACACCAUCAGUAGUGGGGGAGUCACUUCGAUCAAUCUCUCUGAAUGAUCAUGCUCAUAAGAAAGUUUCAUCUGUGAUAGAAGGAAAGGGCUUGCCAGAAUGUCUGAGGCCAAGCUUGUUUUCACAUGUUCCUCCAUAUAUUCGCUUUUCCAUGCAUGACGUCAGGGGUGAAGCUCUUCCAGCUGAAAUUCAGCGUCACAUGAAGUGGAAGUUGAGUACCAUUACGCCUCUGGUCAUUCGUCGCACACUUGUGAACUCAGGUUUUAGGCUUAUUAGAAAGUCAAAUGACUGGUGUGGUACGUGGGGAAAACACAUGAAAUCACUGUGUUUUAAAACCUUGAAAGACUUCCAGAAGAUCAAUCACUUUCCAGGGACAUUUCAAAUUGGCCGUAAAGAUCGGCUGUGGAAGAAUUUGUACCGUCUUAUGACAAAGUUUGGAAAGAAAGAAUUUGGCUUUAUCCCUCGUACUUACGUGUUACCUCAGGACAACAAGCUGCUUCGCCAGGCAUGGGAGAAGAGUUGUGGCAAUGAGAAGUGGAUAGUCAAACCACCUGCGUCUGCAAGAGGCACUGGCAUUAAGGUUGUUCAUCGUUGGGCCCAAAUCCCCAAGAAGCGACCGUUAGUGGUUCAGAAGUACAUAUCGCAGCCUUUUCUCAUCAAUGGCAGCAAGUUUGACCUACGCCUCUAUGUGCUGCUUACUAGUAUCAAUCCUCUUCGCAUCUAUAUUUAUGAUGAUGGAUUGGUUCGGUUUGCUUCAGUUAAAUACUCCAGUGACAUGGCAUGCCUGGGUGAUCGCUACAUGCACCUGACCAACUACAGCAUUAACAAGAUGAGUAGCCAGUACACACAGAAUGAAGAUGCUACAGCUUGUCAAGGACACAAGUGGACAGUGAAGACUCUGUGGACGUACCUAGAGAAAGAGGGAGUGAAUGUUGUAGCUCUGUGGAACAGUCUCGUUGAUCUAGUUAUCAAGACAAUCAUCAGUGGGGAGUCUUCCAUUAGCCAGCUAUCCCGAGCCAACCUUGUUUCUCGUUACUGCUCUUACGAAUUGUUUGGCAUUGAUGUACUUCUAGAUGAAACGCUGAAGCCUUGGCUUCUUGAGGUAAACAUAUCUCCCUCCUUACAUUCAACUUCGCCAUUAGAUCUGGCCGUGAAAGGUCCGAUGGUAAGAGACCUACUGAACAUGGCUGGCUUCCAAGUACCUAACAAAUUGCUCAUUGCUCAACAAGAAGAAAUUCUAAACACACUUGGUUUGAAGGACAAGGAGAUACCAUUGUGUUUUGACAAACGCUUAUAUACCACAGUCUUGUCUAAGGAAGAGCGAAGCAAACAUUCCUUUUACCAGCAGAAUUGUUCCAGAGAAGAGUAUCUUGAAGAUAUUUUGAAGGAUUUGACUCCAGAUGAUGUGCGGCAUCUCAUUCAGUCAGAAGAUGAAUUAACUCAAGCUGGAAGGUUUGUGAAGAUCUUCCCAACAGCUUCCACAUACGUGUAUCACGAGUUCUUUGAGGCUCCACGGUACUACAAUAUGAUAUUUGAUGCAUGGGAAACCAAGUACAGUGAAAAUCGGCAAGAAGGUAUUGAGCUCCUGGAAUGUUUGUGUGUACGGAAGAUGCACUUGGAGGUGCCUGUUCCAGGUGGUCUAACCAAGUCUUCUGUCAGCCAGUUGAACACUUUCCCAUCAAGUCAAAGCCCUCCACCAGCACAUGAAAAGAACAGUGAAGAACAACAGCCUCUUGUUGAAAGAAGGAUUCAGAGUUUGUCAUCAGUAGCUCUGUAUCGGGCCGUUCGUCCUCGCAGCGGGAAGUUUGGCGUUGUUCUUAAACCUUUCCCACGUUCUGCGUACCUGACAAGGAAAACAAAACUUUCCGGUACACCAGCAAAAACAUCAAGCAGUGCCCCAACAAACAGUGUUCGUGAAGUUGAGUCGUCUUCACAACUUGCACUUGAAGACCGUCAUGUAAAAGAAGUAGCCUCAUAUUGAGAGUAUCUUAAGAAGUAAGUGGUGUGAAAACUGAUGCCAUCCACACAGUUGAUAGUAUAAAUUUGAUUUAAAAAUGGAAUGUAUUUGGCGUAGUGUAUGACAGAAUGGAUCUGUAGCAUUCCAACACUAUUUUUUUAAUAGUAUGUUUUUAGGUGCCGUAAUAAAUUUUUCUCGGCAUAUGUAAAACUUUAAGGGACAGAUUUACAUUAUUUGUGGUCCAAAUGAGAUUGCAUAAGCAUCUCUUGCUGAUUAUUAUAGUGAAUACUGUUCUGUGGGGGGAAUGUGUCCCAUAUUUAUUGUCUGUUCUAAUAAAAAAAAUGUAAAAUUUUUGUGUACAAUGUAAAUAUAUCUUAUGCCUUCCAGUAAUUAUGAUGUACUGUAAUUAAAAAUGUCAUUUUAUAAGGUGGCCUGAUUCCUUACAAUGUAUUAAUUUUUUUAAUUAUGUGAACCUACAUAGGCGUGUUGAUUUGCAUUUGCUUGAGUUUUUGAUUUUUUUUGUUCUUUGUGUUGUGUACUUUGCUGAAGGUAACUGUGGAAUAAGCUGGAUUAACUUGGGAGCUUCAUAUAUAUUGCAGUGCAAUUAUAAUUAAUUGAGGUUAAAUUCUUGUGUACUAUUUGCUCGAAAUAGAAAAUGAGUAUUAGGUGAAUGUUUUUGCAUUUGUUCAGUAAUACCAACAUUUAAAUACUUGAACUCAAUAAAUUACAUGCUACACUUGGUCAUAGUUUCACAUGUGCAGUGAAUGAGUCUAACUUCAUAAUUCUGGGGUAUUUUAAUGCUUUGUAGGUUGCAAAUUGAAUGUUCUAUAUAUUCAUGGACAUUUUUACUUCAGGAACUAACUUAUGUGAAGGAAAUUUGAUCAUUGUUCACAGCCAGGUUUGUUUGAGUGUUAAAGUGGGGAGUUUUUAGCUCAUUUGUUAAGACCAAAAUUGAUUAAAUGUAUGCAUUCAGUGUUCUAACACAUUCUUGCGUAAUAUUUUUCAAAUAUGCUGAUUUUUAGUGUUUUAUGUAAGUGCAACCAAAUAACAUCUCUUAUUUUCUGAAUUCAUUUUGUUACAGUUGUCAUCAUGGUUGCAUAAAUGUGCUGAACAAAUGGCAGUGGUUAAUUUAAAAUAAAAGUUGAUUUUGUUACCCAUGUGGUACAUGUCCCUUUCAUUCAGAUUGAUGUUGACAAUAAAGGUAAUGUUACAU